GCUAUUGAUCAUUGCAACGCCUCAUAAAUAGAUUCAUGAGGUGAAAAGUUCGAAAUCAUUGCUCUAUGACUGAAUAAAUGGCAUUAGAUUUGGUUGCAACUUCAGGCGCAACUCGUGUAUCGAAUUACAAUGCGAUUGUGAUUCCAUUCCUAACCUCUACAGUAAAGCAACAGAUUACAUGUGAGUCGAUAUUUCUCCUUGUAGUAUUCUCAUUAUAUUAUAGCGUUAAAGUUGUAUAAAAAAAAAAGUAUUUGAAAAGAGAAAAUCACAAUGCACAUAUGAUUCGUAUAAGGAAAUUAAAAAGAUUAAUGAAAAACUAUUAAAGAUCGAUCCAUUAUAAAAAGUAUUAAAGAAAAAGGAAAAUUAAAGGGAAAGUGAUACAAUUGCGAGAAGAAAUCUCAUUCUCAUUUAUCAACUAUUAUAGUCGAGCUCUAUUAGCCAUGGAAGACGAUGAAUAAUCACGUGCAUUAUGCUGUCAAUAAAUAUCGACAUGUUUUAAAAUAUCAUUUUAACGAGCAAACAAGUGCGAUUUAUCGAUUAUGAUCUUAGAAAAACGAUAACACUUUCAACUUUACUGAACGAACAGAAAUAAAAUGAUAUCGAUAAUAUGUGACAUAUGUUUCGUAUCUGCAAUAUAUAUUUUUUCACAAUUAUAUCGAUUUUCUUGGUAUUCAUAAUCUUCUUUACUCGACUUUUCAUAGUUUGCAAUAAAUUUUAAUAUUUUUUUAUGUUUGAUAUAUAAUAAAAAUGUUAUAUAUUUAUAAUUAUAUAUUUAUAAUUAUAUAAAUAUAUAUAAUAUAUAUAUUUAUAAUAUUAUUUAUAAUUAUAUAUUUCGAAAUGGAAUUAAUUAAUAUACUUAAACAAUAAUACAAUAAUACAAUAAUAAUAAUUCUUAUAAUAAUUUUUAUAUAUUUCUUAAUCUUAAUUCUAACAGUUUUCCUCAUUGCAAUUGUUCGAGAUAAAAAUAGUAUUUUUUGCAUUUUUACGAGAUGUCUUUCAUUUUAUUAUAUCUCGAAAUCAAUAUGUUUUUUUUGCUGAAUUAUAUACUUUAAUUGGUGCAAAUUUAAUUAGUUUUCUAAGAAUGGUUUAAUCGAAAGUUUAAAAAUUAAUUAAAAAUAAAAAUUGAAUUUCGUGCAAGUCAAUGAUACUACAUAGAUCAGAUAAUUAUCAGUCGACUGGAUAAAAUCUAUGCAAACUUAAAAAUUUUCAGAAUUUAUUAAAAUUUUUACAAAUUCAUAAAAUUUCUUGUAAAGAAUUUUAAAAAAUUUGUUUCGACCUAUAAUUUUUAAUUUUAACGAAUAUUGUAAAUUAAAGAAUUUGUAA